AUCUCCUAUGAGGAUCCUGAGUAGCACAUCACACGUGGAACGAUGUGCGAAUCCGCGCGGACCACCGCGCAAGGCUAAAUACUCGUCGGCGACCGAUAGUGAACAAGUACCGCGAGGGAAAGGUGAAAAGAACCGCUGUGAGCGGAGUGAAAUAGAACCUGCAACCGUAAGUCUACAAAGUGUCAGAGCCCUUUGGGGCGAUGGCGUGCCUUUUGUUUAAUGAGUCUGCGAGUCAGUGUUCGUGGCAAGGCUAAGCUCUUCCGGAGCGCAGCCGCAGCGAAAGCAAGUCCGAAGAGGGCGACAAGUCGCGGGUACUGGACCCGAAGCGGAGGUGACCUACCCUUGGCCAGGUUGAAGCAUGGGUAAAACCAUGUGGAGGACCGAACGGGUGAACGUUGAAAAGUUCUCCGAUGAGCUGAGGGUAGGAGUGAAAGGCUAAUCAAACCCCGUGAUAGCUGGUUCUCUCCGAAAUGCAUUUAGGUGCAGCGUCACAUGCUGAUGAGCGGGGGUAAAGCACUGACAAGGCAAGGGGGCACACCCGCCUACCGACCCUUAUCAAACUCUGAAUACCGUUCAAGGGAGUGUGGCAGUGAGACGGCGGGGGAUAAGCUUCGUCGUCAAAAGGGAAACAGCCCAGACCGCCGGCUAAGGUGCCUCAAUCAUGCUAAGUGGAAAGGAUGUGGGAUGACCCAGACAGUGAGGAUGUUGGCUUAGAAGCAGCCACCAUUUAAAAAAUGCGUAAUAGCUUACUCAUCGAGUUGUCCUGCGCCGAAAAUGAUUGGCGAUAAGCAUGAUACCGAAGCCGCGGAUUUCAUCGCAAGAUGGAGUGGUAGGAGAGCGUCGCAUACACGUCGAAGGGGAAUGGCGACUGAACCUGGAGCGUAUGCGAGUGAGUAUGCAGACAUGAGUAACGCAAAGAUACGUUAAAUACGUAUCCGCCGUAAACCCAAGGUUUCCAGGGCAACGAUGUACGCCCCUGGGUUAGUCGGGACCUAAGUCGAGGCCGAGAGGCGUAGGCGAUGGACACACGGUCAAUAUUCCGUGACUUCCGAACCUUAAAGAGGGAGGACGCAUCAAGAAAGGUACACAGCUUAUUGAAUUGCGAGCGGAGGCUACGGCCGAAGCGCAGUACCGGACGAGGUGCCGAGAAAAGCCCCUCCGUAUGCUAAGGAACCCGUACCGCAAACCGACACAGGUGGGUGGGUAGAAUAUACCAAGGCGCAAGAGUGAACCCCGGUUAAGGAACUCGGCAAAUUAGCCCCGUAACUUCGGAAAAAGGGGUGCCAUGGCAACAUGGCCGCAGAGAAAUGGCCCAACCGACUGUUUAUCAAAAACACAGCACUCUGCCAAGACGCAAGUCAACGUAUAGGGUGUGACACGUGACCAAUGCCGAAAGAUUAAGGCGAGCGGUUAGCCGCAAGGCGAAGCUGUAAACCCAAGUCCCGGUGAAUGUCGGCCGUAACUAUAACGGUCCUAAGGUAGCGAAAUUCCUUGUCGGGUAAGUUCCGACCUGCACGAAUCGUGAAACGAGUUGGGCACUGUCUCAACCGGGCGCUCAGUGAAAUUGUAACGCCGGUGAAGAUGCCGGCCACCCGCAGAAGGACGGAAAGACCCUAUAGACCUUAACUGUAAGCUGUCAUUGUUUCUUCGGUUCCGAUGCUCAGAGUAAGUGGGAGACGCUGAGGUGACCCUUUAGGGGGCCACUGAGUCAUCAAUGAGACACCACCCUUCGGAACUGGAGGAUCUAACUUCGCGCCUUGAAUCAGGCAGAAGGACCGUGUCAGCCGGUCAGUUUUACUGGGGCGGUAUCCUCCCAAACAGUAACGGAGGAGUGCGAAGGUGGGCUCAACCCGGAUGGCAACCGGGUGUCGAGUGCAUGGGCAUAAGCCCGCCUAACUGUGAGACCGACAAGUCGAGCAGAUGCGAAAGCAGGCCCAAGUGAUCCGGCGGGAGAGAGUGGAAUCCCCGUCGCUCAACGGAUAAAAGGUACCUUAGGGAUAACAGGCUGAUCACGCCCAAGAGUUCAUAUCGACGGCGUGGUUUGGCACCUCGAUGUCGGCUCGUCGCAUCCUGGGGCUGGAGAAGGUCCCAAGGGUCCGGCUGUUCGCCGGUUAAAGCGGCACGCGAGCUGGGUUCAGAACGUCGCGAGACAGUUCGGUCCUCUAUCCUCUGUGGGCGUUGGAGAAUUGAGGGGUUCAGACCUUAGUACGAGAGGACCGGGUCUGACGCACCACUGGUGCACCGGUUGUUCCGUCAGGAGCACGGCCGGGUAGCUAAGUGCGGAAGGAAUAAGCGCUGAAAGCAUCUAAGCGCCAAGUCCCUCCCAAGAUGAGUUCUCCCUACAGGAGCGUGGAAGACGACCACGUUGAUAGGGUGCAGGUGUAAUUGCAGCAAUGUAUUGAGCCGAGCACUACUAACAUCCAAUAGACCUCUUUCAC
rnacentral:rRNA from 1 species